CGCCGCCCCAUGCGUCGUCGUCGCACCACCGAGCGUUUCAUUUGAUAUGUUGGGGUUGCGUUCGCCAUCGUGAUAGCCGUCGAAUCGUGUUAAUACGUGCCACGCACAUUCCGUCAUUCGUCGUGCUCUUGUGACUAGUAGGCGUGUCGGGGAUCGUGACGACCGUGUGAGAGUGCGAAUAUCGUGCGAAUAGUGCGAAUACCGCAUCUCGAGAGAGACAGACAGAAAGAAAAGAGAGAGAAAAAGGCUUUCGCGACGGGAUGAUCUUUUGGAUCAGUUUUCCUCGUUUUUCCUGUAUUCGGAACAGACACUGACGAUAUGGAUGCAAUAUGGCUUCAGUACGUUGGCAUGCCUUUGGGAACAGUUUUCUUUCACCAGUCAUCGUGUUACUCUUGCUACUGUGUCCACGCAAUUCAACAGGUCAGUAAGAAACAUGUGGAACAAAUUAAAACGUUUCACACGUUCAGUAAAAAUUGACAACUUUUUAUAUAUAACUUUAAUAUA